AACAGGAUUAGAUACCCUGGUAGUCCACGCCGUAAACGUUGGGCGCUAGGUGUGGGGGCCAUUCCACGGUCUCCGUGCCGCAGCUAACGCAUUAAGCGCCCCGCCUGGGGAGUACGGCCGCAAGGCUAAAACUCAAAGGAAUUUACGGGGGCCCGCACAAGCGGCGGAGCAUGUUGCUUAAUUCGAUGCAACGCGAAGAACCUUACCUAGGCUUGACAUGCACGGAAAUCUGUCGGAGAUGGCAGGUCCUUUUAGGGUCGUGCACAGGUGGUGCAUGGUUGUCGUCAGCUCGUGUCGUGAGAUGUUGGGUUAAGUCCCGCAACGAGCGCAACCCUCGUUCUAUGUUGCCAGCGGGUCAUGCCGGGGACUCAUAGGAGACUGCCGGGGUCAACUCGGAGGAAGGUGGGGAUGACGUCAAAUCAUCAUGCCCCUUAUGUCUAGGGCUGCAAACAUGCUACAAUGGCCGGUACAAAGGGCUGCGAUACCGUGAGGUGGAGCGAAUCCCAAAAAGCCGGUCUCAGUUCGGAUUGGGGUCUGCAACUCGACCCCAUGAAGUUGGAGUCGCUAGUAAUCGCAGAUCAGCAACGCUGCGGUGAAUACGUUCCCGGGCCUUGUACACACCGCCCGUCACGUCACGAAAGUCGGUAACGCCCGAAGCCGGUGGCCCAACCCCUUGUGGGAGGGAGCCGUCGAAGGCGGGAUCGGCGAUUGGGACGAAGUCGUAACAAGGUAACC
rnacentral:rRNA from 1 species